rnacentral:lncRNA from 1 species
UGGAGAGGCCUAUGACCAGGGCUGUAUUCCCAAUAAAAUCACGCACUAGUUUGACCUCUAAGGUGAGACUUCUGAGGGAAACUGUUGAAGGAAUAAAGGACUGGAGCCUCCAUCCAAAGACCUUUCAGUCUCUGUGGAUAGAAACUAUCUCCGUCGUAUUUCUUUUUCAUAAGUACUACCUACACUCUGCUGCCUCACCAAGGUUCUGCUGUGGGAGCACAGCGAAACGUCAUCAGACUGGGCAGGGAAAAGUGGUGACAUUGACCGUUGAAGAAUGAGUCCACAUCAAACAGGCCAAGAGGUAAAGUGAUAUAAAUGUAUGCAAUGAGAAGAGCAAUGAUGGUUGGAAGAACAGAGUAUUUGGUAAUUUAAGACUGUGAGCCUCACGAGAGAGAGUAGUGUGCCUAGGACUGGAGGGUAGGUGAGGGCCACGUUAUGGAAAAUUUCACAAACAGAUACACACACAUGCACUCAAAUGAAAGUAAUUUUUUUUAAUGAGAGAGAAUGACAUACUUUUCUUGAUAGACUGUCAUGAACUAUGACUCACAGCAUAGUUGAAUUGGAUUACUAUGACAAAAUCCGUAGAUUGGUGUCUUAGUUAAAGUCUUAUUGCUGUGGAGAAACAUUACAACCAAGGGAACUCUUAUAAAGGACAACAUUUAGUUGGGGCUGGCUUACAGUUUCAGAGGUUCAGUCCAUCAUUGUCAUGGCAGGAAGCAUCCAGGCAGACACUAGGCUGGAGAAGGAGCUGAGAGCUCUACAUCUUGAUCUGAAGGCAGAUGACAUGAGAGACUCCCUUCCGCAGGCAGCCAGGAGGGGACUUCCUUCUGUACUGAGUGUAGCUUGCCUACUAGGAGUCUUCAAAGCCCACCUACACAGUAACACAUUUCCUCCAACAAGGCCACACCUCCUAAUAGUGCCACUUUCCAUGUGUUUUCCAUAUUGAAACACAUGAGUCUAUGGGGACCAAACCUAUUCAAAUUACCACAGGCAGUAUGGUAAUGUGCCACAGGCACAGUUGGAGUUUAUGUUUCAUCGGUGUUUUAAGCACAGGGGUUAGAAGAACGGUAGAGAGACAGGUAAGCAAAGGACAGUAGUGUAUCUUUUAGAGUCCUCUUGGGCUUCUGAAGAGAACUGGCACUCAAGUGUCUUACUUAAUAGCUAUGUAUGUGGAAAGCUCUUCAGAUUAGAUUGUUCAAAGGAUUUGAAAGGCAAAACGAAAACUUUUUUCUUAAUAUUUACUUUCAUUUAGAAACUUUUCUUUAGUAAAUGAAUUAUAAGGUGGCUUGAGGCACACUGUACAGGUUUAUAGGUUGGUAAGAUAAACAUGCAGGGCAAAAGACUGAAAAGAAUCCUUAGUAUACGUGCGGUGUAGAGAAACCAAGGUACAUGUCUUCACUGCAAUUAUGAUUUGUACUUGUGCAAGGUGCAAAUGUCAGCCAGGAGGGGCGAAUGUGCACACACAGUAACUAUGGAUGAUGAUGAGUGAGUGGGCUACUUGUUUUGAUCAACUGUAGGAAUAGGUGUUUCGAUCUAUCAACUGUAGCAAUAUGUGUUUAUCUCUCUCUCUCUCUCUCUCUCUCUCUCUCUCUCUUUAUCUAUCUCAUCAUGUAUACUCAGACUAAAUACAGUGGGAAGUCAGUAUCACAAAUCAAGAGAGACCCACUUCUUCAUGACAAAGUUGAAUUUACUAGGAAGAUGUGUUGCUUCUAAUUUCAUAGACACUGUAAACAUACAUUUGAAUACAUAGAUCAUACCUGAUAGAAAACCCAAACUACUGACAUAUCUGGUAUGUUUUAUGGAACAUACUUCUCACAGUAAGUUAUACAGCAAACAGACAAAGGUCAGUCACCAUAUGGAUUUCCACAACACUAUCCACAUGCUAGACCUAACAGACGCAUGUGAAACUUGCUUACCUACUUCAGACUGGGACUGUUUUCUAAGCACACAAGGCCAAUUCAUAGAGAUUUACCUCAUGCAAAGGUAUAAAGUAAUUAUUACAAAGUUUCAAAGGAUAUUUGAAAAUUUAAAAAAAAGUCACAAUGGGAAGUAAAAUUAAAAUGUAAGAAUAUAAUUCCCCCAGAAAUGAUUUAUAGAAUUAAAUGGAACAUCUCAAAAUAUUUACAAGAGGGUUUGUAACCUGCCCC